UGCUACCAUUCAACACACUAUAUAACACGUGUUGGUGAGCAACCUUUAGGUUUUUCACUGUGCUUUUACUAUCUGAGCGGAAUAAAGUCUUACAGUCAAAUCUUGUUUUUAAAGAACAAACCUUUUUCUUUAGUCUGAAUGUGUGUGUGUGUGUGUCAGUGUUUAAUCUCUCGGUGUCAUAUGUGGAUGAAAAUAAUUUAUUUCAUUUUUAUUUCAGUAGUCUGUUACGGCAGUUACUUUUUAGUGGAAAGCUGUUUUGACAUUGAAUUAAAAAAAAAUCUUUAAAUGGACCACUGCAUCAAUAUGAAUUA